GACGUAGGGUGCAAGCGUUAUCCGGAAUUAUUGGGCGUAAAGAGCUCGUAGGCGGUUUGUCGCGUCUGCUGUGAAAACCCGAGGCUCAACCUCGGGCCUGCAGUGGGGUACGGGCAGACUAGAGUGCGGUAGGGGGAGAUUGGAAUUCCUGGUGUAGCGGUGAAAUGCGCAGAUAUCAGGAAGAACACCAAUGGCGAAGGCAGCUCUCUGGGACGGUACUGACGCUGAGACGCGAAAGCGUGGGGAGCGAACAGG
rnacentral:rRNA from 1 species